rnacentral:rRNA from 1 species
UACGAAGGGGGCUAGCGUUGUUCGGAAUUACUGGGCGUAAAGGGCGCGCAGGCGGUCCUUCAAGUCAGGCGUGAAAGCCCCGGGCUCAACCUGGGAAUCGCGCUUGAGACUGAGGGACUUGAGUUCGGGAGAGGAGAGCGGAAUUCCCAGUGUAGAGGUGAAAUGCGUAGAUAUCGGGAGGAACACCAGUGGCGAAGGCGACUACCUGGCCUGUUCUUGACGCUGAGGCGCGAAAGCUAGGGGAGCAAACGGG